UGCAGUCGAACGGAAAGGCCCAGCUUGCUGGGUGCUCGAGUGGCGAACGGGUGAGUAACACGUGGGUGAUCUGCCUCUAACUUCGGGAUAAGCUUGGGAAACUGGGUCUAAUACCGGAUAGGACAAUCGUUUAGUGUCGGUUGUGGAAAGUUUUUUCGGUUAGGGAUGAGCCCGCGGCCUAUCAGCUUGUUGGUGGGGUAAUGGCCUACCAAGGCGUCGACGGGUAGCCGGCCUGAGAGGGUGGACGGCCACAUUGGGACUGAGAUACGGCCCAGACUCCUACGGGAGGCAGCAGUGGGGAAUAUUGCACAAUGGGCGCAAGCCUGAUGCAGCGACGCCGCGUGGGGGAUGACGGCCUUCGGGUUGUAAACCUCUUUCGACAGGGACGAAGCUUUGGUGACGGUACCUGUAUAAGAAGCACCGGCUAACUACGUGCCAGCAGCCGCGGUAAUACGUAGGGUGCGAGCGUUGUCCGGAAUUACUGGGCGUAAAGAGCUCGUAGGUGGUUUGUCGCGUCGUCUGUGAAAUUCCGGGGCUUAACUUCGGGCGUGCAGGCGAUACGGGCAUAACUUGGGUGCUGUAGGGGAGACUGGAAUUCCUGGUGUAGCGGUGGAAUGCGCAGAUAUCAGGAGGAACACCGAUGGCGAAGGCAGGUCUCUGGGCAGUAACUGACGCUGAGGAGCGAAAGCAUGGGGAGCGAAUAGGAUUAGAUACCCUGGUAGUCCAUGCCGUAAACGGUGGGCGCUAGGUGUAGGGGUCUUCCACGACUUCUGUGCCGUAGCUAACGCAUUAAGCGCCCCGCCUGGGGAGUACGGCCGCAAGGCUAAAACUCAAA
rnacentral:rRNA from 1 species